UAAAAUGGUUGCUUGCAUCGCGUGAUGUAGAGGCCGUUCGUCAUCCCCUUUUCGAAGACAGAAAAAGAUUCCAUAUAAAUUUGGCAAACUCAAUCCCAUAAUCCAAAGGGCUUAAAAAUAUCCUCUCAAAUUCUUACAAAAACAAUAGUGAUCAAAGAGGUCACCAAGAGCAUUGUGCAUGGAAAGGUCGUUCAACACGUUACAUAUCGUUUCUAAUUAAUCAUCGCUGUGCAACCAAAAUAUAUAUCAGCGAACACUUGUGUCGAAUUAAGCACCGUUGUUCCUUGCCAAUACUGGACCGUAUUUUGUUUGUAUUGCACAUCAUAAUUAAGAUCACUAGAAGCCUAAGCUAUAUAACUAUAGCGCCUUGCACUAACGCGCUAUACGGACUAGCACCAAAACUUCCCAGGAGAAAAUAAAAGUGGUCCUAGAGGAGCAGCUUGCUCCCUGGCUCCCUGCUCAUAGCCACGAGGGAUAUUAAAUGUCAUUCAUUUAGAGAAAUAUUGUAGCUUUAGAAAAAUAAAAUAAAAACAGUCGAACCCAUGUUAUAAAAUGUGGAUGGAGUAGCACAAAGCAACAUGAUACGAGUUCCACCUAUCGUUCUUUCAUAUCUGAAUGGAAGGAGAGGCAAAGCAUGCUCUUUGGAGGGGCUGCAAAGAGCAGCUCGUGGGACUGGGACACAUGGGGAACUACUUAGUACUUACAUGCAAGGACGAAGGGUGAUCUUCUUCUUUAUCGUUGUUAAGAUGAGGUAGUCUAAGAGCGUCAACAUUGUGAUCGGCAGAUGGAGGAGACCUACAGAAAGUGUACUUAUAUGUCUCUAGGGAUAAAACAGUGUGCUACCCUGCUACAGCGAUGCUGUGCGCGGCCGAAGUAGGAGUAGCGUGUAGCGCACAAGGCCGGAGCGAUCGUUGCCAUCCAAGAGACCAGGAGUGACACAUCAGUACACUGUUUCACAAACGCCAAUUGAUCUCCAUUUCCUGAUCAUCUGUAGGUGUAGAAAAGGUUCGUCGUCAUCUUGAAUACUACUGGCAGUGAAAGAAAUCUGUGCGGUGCCCAGUAAUUUGCAGCAAGUUUCACUCAUGAAAAAACCUCUCUGAGCUAGAAUCCUACUUAUUUACCCGCAAAAAUAAAAGGGAUCCUGCUCAUUUGAUGAUAAGAUCUUUUGGGCUUUGAUACGUCCAUAUUUAUGAAGAAAUUCUGUGCAGGCAUUCCUUGUGCCAAUAUAAUAUCUCUAACAACCGCAUCAUGUGUAGCUAAUCAUCCAUACAAAUGAGACCAUCGGUGAAGUGUGUUCUCUCCCUACUUCACGAGUCUUAACAAGACACCGAAGCCCCCACCGCCCGAGCGCGGGUGCCGAAGAGUGCGGGCCCCCUGCCUUCCUCGGCCCGCCAUGCCCGGUGCUUCCUCGCCGCGCUGCCUCGGACCAUGCACACCCUGUCUGAGCUCCCGCUGAAGUGGCCGUCCUGCGCAGCCCCUCCCCGCGCGGAAGGAGGCGGACCCCACCGCCGUCGAGCCGCGCAGGCUUUACCCGGCGACCCCGUCCGACGGCUGCGAGGGAAGGCGUGAGUGGAGGGUUGAUGCUGGCGGCGGUUAGGGUUCGCUCUCGGCCGCCCGCGGGAGCGACCUGGGAGCGCGUCGUUUUUUGUCCCUGUCGAUGACUUGGACAUUAGUUUGUUGUGAUGAGUUGGGAUAUUACAAGUAGUUGCGGGAGAUAGAGUUAUUUGAUAACAUCAUACUAUCUGU
rnacentral:lncRNA from 1 species